rnacentral:misc_RNA from 1 species
GAUGAAGAACGUAGCGAAAUGCGAUAAGUAAUGCGAAUUGCAGAAUUUCCGUGAGUCAUCGAAUCUUUGAACGCACAUUGCGCCCGCCAGUAUUCUGGCGGGCAUGCCUGUUCGAGCGUCAUUUCAACCAUCAAGCCCCAGGCUUGUGUUGGGGACCUGCGGCUGCCGCAGGCCCUGAAAACCAGUGGCGGGCUCGCUGUCACACCGGGCGUAGUAGACUUUAUCUCGCUCUGGGCGUGCUGCGGGUUCCGGCCGUUAAAAAACCCUUUUAACCCAAGGUUGACCUCGGAUCAGGUAGGAAUACCCGCUGAACUUAAGCAUAUCAAUAAGCGGAGGA